UACGUAGGGGGCAAGCGUUGUCCGGAAUCAUUGGGCGUAAAGAGCGUGUAGGCGGUCCGGUAAGUCAGCUGUGAAAGUCAAGGGCUCAACCCUUGAAAGCCGGUGGAUACUGUCGGACUAGAGUGCGGAAGAGGCGAGUGGAAUUCCUGGUGUAGCGGUGAAAUGCGCAGAUAUCAGGAGGAACACCAAUUGCGAAGGCAGCUCGCUGGGACGUUACUGACGCUGAGACGCGAAAGCGUGGGGAGCAAACAGG
rnacentral:rRNA from 1 species